CUCCCACAGACACUUACUUUUCCGCCCCGAGUCUCGCGCAUGCGCACCGCGACCUUCAAGCAGGCUCUGAAAUGAAAGCAUCUUGAGAAAGAGGGAGGGACCCUAAAUCGCGGUCAGGCUCCGGACGUGCAGGCUCAGCGGCCAUGGCUCACGGGCCCAGCCACUCUGCGGCAUGUGGGAUCUUCCCGGACCGGGGCACCAACCCACGUCCCUUGCAUCGGCAGGCGGACUCUCAACCACUGCACCACCAGGGAAGCCCUGUUUGUUUGUUUUUGAAGUAAAUACAUGUGUCUGUGAUAUGCAGGGUUCUCUAAAGCACAGGAUCCAGGUAGGGGCUCGUCUUGCCUGGGUCUAAGGACAGUACUGAAUGGAGCAAUCCAACAUUGUCCCCCUAUAUAGCUAUGGUGUUGUACAUAAAAUACAUACUAUUGCACUAAAUGAUCAUGCAUGCUAAAGUUAUAAAAACUUUAUAACUAUGUUUAUGACAUACACAAUGGAAUGAGGUAUGUACUUUACUCCUGUUUGGGAGAAUAAACAAUGAUCGCCAGUC